rnacentral:rRNA from 1 species
GGCAGCGACACUGUGUGUUGUUGGGUAGGGGAGCGUUCUGUAAGCCUGUGAAGGUGGCCUGUGAGGGUUGCUGGAGGUAUCAGAAGUGCGAAUGCUGACAUAAGUAACGAUAAAGCGGGUGAAAAGCCCGCUCGCCGGAAGACCAAGGGUUCCUGUCCAACGUUAAUCGGGGCAGGGUGAGUCGACCCCUAAGGCGAGGCCGAAAGGCGUAGUCGAUGGGAAACAGGUUAAUAUUCCUGUACUUGGUGUUACUGCGAAGGGGGGACGGAGAAGGCUAUGUUGGCCGGGCGACGGUUGUCCCGGUUUAAGCGUGUAGGUGUGUGUUCCAGGUAAAUCCGGUUCACUUUAACACUGAGGCGUGAUGACGAGGCACUACGGUGCUGAAGCAACAAAUGCCCUGCUUCCAGGAAAAGCCUCUAAGCAUCAGGUAACAUCAAAUCGUACCCCAAACCGACACAGGUGGUCAGGUAGAGAAUACCAAGGCGCUUGAGAGAACUCGGGUGAAGGAACUAGGCAAAAUGGUGCCGUAACUUCGGGAGAAGGCACGCUGACACGUAGGUGAAGUGAUUUACUCAUGGAGCUGAAGUCAGUCGAAGAUACCAGCUGGCUGCAACUGUUUAUUAAAAACACAGCACUGUGCAAACACGAAAGUGGACGUAUACGGUGUGACGCCUGCCCGGUGCCGGAAGGUUAAUUGAUGGGGUCAGCGCAAGCGAAGCUCCUGAUCGAAGCCCCGGUAAACGGCGGCCGUAACUAUAACGGUCCUAAGGUAGCGAAAUUCCUUGUCGGGUAAGUUCCGACCUGCACGAAUGGCGUAAUGAUGGCCAGGCUGUCUCCACCCGAGACUCAGUGAAAUUGAACUCGCUGUGAAGAUGCAGUGUACCCGCGGCAAGACGGAAAGACCCCGUGAACCUUUACUAUAGCUUGACACUGAACAUUGAGCCUUGAUGUGUAGGAUAGGUGGGAGGCUUUGAAGCGUGGACGCCAGUCUGCGUGGAGCCGACCUUGAAAUACCACCCUUUAAUGUUUGAUGUUCUAACGUGGACCCGUAAUCCGGGUUGCGGACAGUGUCUGGUGGGUAGUUUGACUGGGGCGGUCUCCUCCUAAAGAGUAACGGAGGAGCACGAAGGUUGGCUAAUCCUGGUCGGACAUCAGGAGGUUAGUGCAAUGGCAUAAGCCAGCUUGACUGCGAGCGUGACGGCGCGAGCAGGUGCGAAAGCAGGUCAUAGUGAUCCGGUGGUUCUGAAUGGAAGGGCCAUCGCUCAACGGAUAAAAGGUACUCCGGGGAUAACAGGCUGAUACCGCCCAAGAGUUCAUAUCGACGGCGGUGUUUGGCACCUCGAUGUCGGCUCAUCACAUCCUGGGGCUGAAGUAGGUCCCAAGGGUAUGGCUGUUCGCCAUUUAAAGUGGUACGCGAGCUGGGUUUAGAACGUCGUGAGACAGUUCGGUCCCUAUCUGCCGUGGGCGCUGGAGAACUGAGGGGGGCUGCUCCUAGUACGAGAGGACCGGAGUGGACGCAUCACUGGUGUUCGGGUUGUCAUGCCAAUGGCACUGCCCGGUAGCUAAAUGCGGAAGAGAUAAGUGCUGAAAGCAUCUAAGCACGAAACUUGCCCCGAGAUGAGUUCUCCCUGAGACUUAGAGUCUCCUGAAGGAACGUUGAAGACGACGACGUUGAUAGGCCGGGUGUGUAAGCGCAGCGAUGCGUUGAGCUAACCGGUACUAAUGAACCGUGAGGCUUAACCUUACAACGCCGAAGC